rnacentral:rRNA from 1 species
UACGGGGGGGGCAAGCGUUGUUCGGAAUUACUGGGCGUAAAGGGCUCGUAGGCGGCCAACUAAGUCAGACGUGAAAUCCCUCGGCUUAACCGGGGAACUGCAUCUGAUACUGGAUGGCUUGAGUUCGGGAGAGGGAUGCGGAAUUCCAGGUGUAGCGGUGAAAUGCGUAGAUAUUAGGAAGAACACCAGUGGCGAAGGCGGCUUCCUGGCCUGUUCUUGACGCUGAGGCGCGAAAGCUAGGGGAGCAAACGGG